rnacentral:rRNA from 1 species
AAUGAACGCUGGCGGCAGGCCUAACACAUGCAAGUCGAGCGAGCGGCGGACGGGUGAGUAAUGCCUGGGCACCGCUCAGACGAGGGGGAUAACAGUUGGACACGACUGCUAAGACAGCAUAGGACAGGAAAGAUCAGGUGGGAUUAGAUUUUUGGUGAGGUAAGGGCACACCAAGGCGACGAUCCCUAGCUGUCCUGAGAGGAGGAUCGUCCACAAUGGAACUGAGACACGGUCCAGCCUCCUACGGGAGGCAGCAGUGGGGAAUAUUGCCCAAUGGGGGAAACCCUGACGCAGCCAUGCCGCGUGUGUGAAGAAGGCCUUCGGAUUGUAAAGCUCUGUCAGUGAGGAAGCGUUACUCGCACAAGAAGCACCGGCUAACUCCGUGCCAGCCGCCGCGGUAAUUC